rnacentral:tRNA from 1 species
GUUUUAAUAGUUUAAAAAAAAUAAUGAUCUUGUAAAUCAUAGUUAGGAUUCCUUUAAAACU